AACGUAGGACACGAGCGUUAUCCGGAGUUACUGGGCGUAAAGGGCGGGUAGGUGGCAUAGUAAGUCUGGUGUGAAAGCCUGCGGCUUAACCGCGGGAGGACACUGGCGACUGCUAAGCUCGAGGCAGAUAGAGGGGUGUAGAAUUCCGGGUGUAGUGGUGAAAUGCGUAGAGAUCCGGAGGAAUACCAGAGGCGAAGGCGGCACCCUGGGUCUGACCUGACACUGAUCCGCGACAGCAUGGGGAGCGAACGGG
rnacentral:rRNA from 1 species